GGAGUCUAGCAUGUUCGCAAGCAAUUUAGAGCUUGACUAAUUGAAACUAAUAUGCAAAAUGAAAGUGAAAGAGGUGGUGGUGUGGUGUGCAAAACACACACACACACACACACACUCUCAAAUGGAGGACGCGAUAUGUGUUUUAAAAUGCACAAGCAUGAUAUUGCUGCACUCCACGGGCGUCUCAUUCUCCGCACAUACCUCGUGUGUGUGCGCGAGAGGAGGCGCACCAAGAGCGUACACGCUGGGACCCGAAAGAUGGUGAACUAUGCCUGGUCAGGAUGAAGUCAGGGGAAACCCUGAUGGAGGUCCGUAGCGAUUCUGACGUGCAAAUCGAUCGUCAGAACUGGGUAUAGGGGCGAAAGACCAAUCGAACUAUCUAGUAGCUGGUUCCCCCUGAAGUUUCCCUCAGGAUAGCUGGCACUUGAUACGAGUUUCAUCUGGUAAAGCGAAUGAUUAGAGGUAUUGGGGUCGAAACGGCCUCAACCUAUUCUCAAACUUUAAAUGGGUGAGAUCUUCGGCUUGCUUGAUGAUCAUCAAUAUGAUGAUGAAGCCGUAAGAGAUAUGAAUCAGUGAGUGCCAAGUGGGCCAUUUUUGGUAAGCAGAACUGGCGCUGUGGGAUGAACCAAACGUUGAGUUAAAGCGCCGAAAUUGACGCUUAUGGGACACCAUGAAAGGCGUUGGUAACUUAAGACAUCAGGACGGUG
rnacentral:rRNA from 1 species